rnacentral:rRNA from 1 species
GUGGGGAAUAUUGGACAAUGGGCGAAAGCCUGAUCCAGCCAUGCCGCGUGUGUGAAGAAGGUCUUCGGAUUGUAAAGCACUUUAAGUUGGGAGGAAGGGCAGUAAGUUAAUACCUUGCUGUUUUGACGUUACCGACAGAAUAAGCACCGGCUAACUUCGUGCCAGCAGCCGCGGUAAUACGAAGGGUGCAAGCGUUAAUCGGAAUUACUGGGCGUAAAGCGCGCGUAGGUGGUUUUGUAAGUUAGAGGUGAAAUCCCCGGUCUCAACCUGGGAACUGCCUCCAAAACUGCAUGACUAGAGUACGGUAGAGGGUAGUGGAAUUUCCUGUGUAGCGGUGAAAUGCGUAGAUAUAGGAAGGAACACCAGUGGCGAAGGCGACUACCUGGACUGAUACUGACACUGAGGUGCGAAAGCGUGGGGAGCAAACAGGAUUAGAUACCCGUGUAGUCC